rnacentral:rRNA from 1 species
AACGAACGCUGGCGGCGUGCCUAACACAUGCAAGUCGAGCGAGAAAGCCCGCAAGGGUGAGUAAAGCGGCGCACGGGUGCGUAACACGUGGGUAAUCUGCCCGGAAGUCCGGAAUAACUCGCCGAAAGGCGUGCUAAUGCCGGAUAAGACCACGGGAACCUCGGUUCCUGCGGGAAAAGGUGGCCUCUGUACACAAGCUAUCACUUCAGGAUGAGCCCGCGGCCCAUCAGCUAGUUGGCGGGGUAAUGGCCCACCAAGGCUACGACGGGUAGCUGGUCUAAGAGGACGGUCAGCCACACUGGAACUGGGACACGGUGCAGACUCCUACGGGAGGCAGCAGUGGGGAAUCUUGCGCAAUGGGCGAAAGCCUGACGCAGCAACGCCGCGUGUGUGAUGAAGGUCUUCGGAUCGUAAAGCACUGUCGGGAGGGACGAAUAGGGCGCCGGCUAACAUCCGGCGCUGAUGACGGUACCUCCAAAGGAAGCACCGGCUAACUCUGUGCCAGCCACCGCCGUAACAC